rnacentral:rRNA from 1 species
CUGAGGGGACUGGGCCUGCGGGCCAUUAGCUUGUUGGUGAGGUAACGGCUCACCAAGGCUGUGAUGGCUAGCUGGUCUGAGAGGAUGACCCAGCCACACUGGGACUGAGACACGGCCCAGACUCCUACGGGAGGCAGCAGUGGGGAAUAUUGCGCAAUGGGCGAAAGCCUGACGCAGCGACGCCGCGUGGGUGAUGAAGGCCUUCGGGUCGUAAAGCCCUGUCGCAGGGGAAGAAUAAGCAUCGGUAUAAUACGCCGGUGCCCUGACGGUACCCUGCAAGAAAGCACCGGCUAACUCCGUG